UUUGUACAAUCAAAUAAUCUUGGAUAAAUGUUCAAAAUUAAAUCAUCUUAAAAUUACAAGGGUGUAACCAAAAAUCAUCUUAAAAUUACAAGGGUGAAAUUACAAAAAAUAAAAUAAAAUAACAUGUAGAAACCGAAAUAUGUCCAAAUAACAAAGGAGCAAAAGUAUUUUUAACCCUAAGAACUAUGAAAUAUUCUAGCAAAAUGAAUUUUGCAUCGAUUUAUUUUUUGUGUAAGAACCCAUCCUUAUGUCUAGUAGUGCUCAUGUAAUUAAUAUUUAUGGCUACGUCCGUCAAUGCAUUUAUUUUGCAUCGUCAUGUAUAUCGACUGAGCUGCAAAAUGGGCUAGCUCGAAUGAGCCGGUCCGUCAAACCCGAUUUUUUCCCGGGUUCGGGCCUUAAAAAUCCUAGCCCGAAUUAUUUCCUGACUUUUUAGCCCUGCCCGAUAAAGUCCGAUUAUAAUAUGGGCUAGCCUGAAUGGGCCACGGGCGGUUCGCAAGCCCGAAAAAAUUAAAAUUAAAAAUAAAUAUAAAUAAUUUUUUUGGAUGAUUUGAACUUAGUUCGUACUAUAAAUUUAAAAACACCGUUCACUACUUAAGUAGCGGAUGAGUAAAAAUAAGGCACCCGAGAAACUCGUAGGUAGCGGAUAAGUUAAAAUAGGUCGCGCGAGAAACUCGUAAGUAGCGGAUGACUAAAAAUAGGGCGCGUGAGAAAGUCGUAGGUAUAGCGGAUGAGUAAAAAUAUGAUGCGCAAGAAACUCGUAAGUAGCAGAUGAGUAAAUAUAGGGCGCGCGAAAAACUCGUAGACAGAGUAAAAAUACGGUGCGCGAGAAUUAUUAUAUAUAUAUAUAUAUAAUAUAAGUAGCGGAUGAGUAAAAAUAGGACGCGCGAUAAUUAUUGAUCAUAUUUAUAAUGUUGAGUUUGAACACUAAAUAUAAAAUAAAAAAUAAAUAAAUAAACCGGACGGCCCGAAAGCCCGACAACCCGU
rnacentral:lncRNA from 1 species